CCUAUAUCGUACUGCAUAUUCUUCCCAUUUCCACCAAAAAAUCACCAUCGUCUUCCCUUCGUGACAACCUCUUCUUCUUAUUUCCACCAAAAUAAAUCACCAUUGUCAUCCCUUCAUGUGAGAUAGAUGGUCAUUUUCUCUCCUUCUUUUCCUUCAUUCGAAAAACUGGAGAAAUAGUUUGAAGACAACGGAUAUCGUACGUCGGAAUCCAAAUCUAUACGAGAACAGAUACAAGAUGUGGGAAAGGAGAUAGCAUUUAGUCACUUUGAUCCUAUAGGCCAGCCAUAUUCUUGUUCAUCAGUAUCGCGAUGUUUCUGUUCAUGAAGAUGUAUGUUCAUAGAUGGACGUGGAUUCAAUCUUAGGGGAUGCAAUCAAGUACUCAAAAGAGCUUCUGCAGAAAGUCAAUGACUUGCAUAAAAAACGGGAGUCCACGUUGCCUAGCUCUUCAUUCACCCAAACAACAAGCUUCUAUCCUCCAACACCAACUGGACCGGCUUUGCCAGACCGCAUCAAGGAAGAACUCUAUCCAUGUUCAUUUGCAAGCCCACUGUUUAGCCGACUGAACGACUUGCACAGCUUCUGAUGAAUAUUGUACCCCACGUGUUAUUGAGUCAUUAAAAAGAUUUUGCGCAAGCACAUGCAGUACCCGUGUAAAUGAAGGCACGACAAUGCUACAUAGUGAAUUGAAAGUGUGUGUGGUUAAUUUUGUUGGAUAACAAGCUGCUAUUGUUUAAGUUAUUUGCAAGGGACGUUUGAUCAUCAGUGAUUCUUUGUAAGCUUUUAGGAGUAGACAGUGUAGAUGCAGAGAUUAUGGUGGGAACUUUACAAAGUUGUUUUGAUCACGUGGGGGUUAUAUUGAAGGAUCAAAGGGGUCAUUAGAUGAGAGAUAGCCGAACACUUGUGGAAAAAGGUAAGGAGAUCAAUCAAACUCGUCAUGAUGGUCUGGAUCCUAGUGCUAUAAUUAGGAACUGUUUCUAUGUGCUACAAGCUAACAAAGGAGAUAAUCAGAGUAAAGACCCUGAUGGUGAUGGCUAGAGGAUGUUUCUUAAAGUGAAGAGCUUGGAUAGAUAUUUUCCAAGUUCAAAAAAGGGUUCUUAAAAUUCUAGGAUUUCCAUGUCAAGAUGUUAUUCCAAGUUUAUGUAAUAGAUUAGAUUAUUCUUUUAUGUUCUUAAGGGGCGUGUCCCUAUUCUAUUCAA